AUCUUAAUAGCUUAAUAUGGAUAAAGUAGUCGAUUGUUAAUCGAUUUAUAUUGGUUCAAUUCCAAUUUAAGGUG
rfam:Theileria parva strain Muguga apicoplast, complete genome, whole genome shotgun sequence.